rnacentral:misc_RNA from 1 species
UUUCCGUAGGUGAACCUGCGGAAGGAUCAUUAAUGUGUUUGGGCCUCACGGCUCUUCAUUCCGAGGCGGUGCGCCUUCGGGCUGCACGCUGAGGGAGCAUAUAUCCACCCCUGUGCACACACACGGUGGCGAGCUGGGUAACGGCUCGCCGCUGAUCUUUACACACGUCUAAAAGUCAUUGUAUGUUUAUUUGAGAUAAAAACACAACUUUCAACAACGGAUCUCUUGGCUCUC